AUGGGGAGGUAAUGGGGAUAGAUCAGGGAGGUAAUGGGUAUAGAUCAGGGAGGUAAUGGGUAUAGAUCAGGGAGGUAAUGGGGAGGUAAUGGGUAUAGAUCAGGGAGGUAAUGGGGAUAGAUGUGGUAAAAAUGUCAAUGGAACGCAGACUGUGGGGACAGGAAGCUGGAUUGGUGCACAUUCAACAAAUCACAGUGAAUAUUUGUCAAAUCAGUCAUGGUUGAUGUAUUAUAACUUAAAUCCCAUUUGGAUAUACAGACCCCUUGACUGUUUCCACUAUCUAGACAGCCUGAUGUUAACAUUACUAUAUACAGUCCAUUCAGAAAGUAUUCAGACCCCUUGACUGUUUCCACUAUCUAGACAGUCUGAUGUUAACAUUACUAUAUACAGUCCAUGCAGAAAGUAUUCAGACCCCUUGACUGUUUCCACUAUCUAGACAGCCUGAUGUUAACAUUACUAUAUACAGUCCAUUCAGAAAGUAUUCAGACCCCUUGACUGUUUUCACUAUCUAGACAGCCUGAUGUUAACAUUACUAUAUACAGUCCAUUCAGAAAGUAUUCAGACCCCUUGACUGUUUCUACAUUUUGUUAUGUUACAGCCUUAUUCUAAAGUGGAUAAAACAAAACAUUUUCCCUCAACAAUCUCCACACAA